UCGGUUUUCCGGUCUAUUUGCCCAGCCCUAAAAGCAUGACACCAAAAACUCUCUUCGACAUUUCAUCAAACGCCUUGUGGGCGUCCUUCACAAUGACCCCAAAAAAGUGAGGUUGAGUAAAACUCAUUUUGGGUCUGAGAAGAUUUAAUUGAACUUAGAUUCUCAGACCCAAAUAAGGGUUUGAGAUUCUCUCAAUUGGCAAGUUCUUGGGUUUUGCUCCGAGCUGCAGUCAAAAUCAAAGUGUAUUGGUACACAUCAGCAGGGUGCAUGGUGGACAUUACUAGGCCUUUAUCAGGCCGAUGUUUUCUGAUUAUUGAAAGUUUCAGAAGCAUCAAUCCUUGUUGGAAUUCUACCAGAUAACUGUUUUUUGAAGGAUCAAGAGACGCCAUCAUUUUCAAGUGACCAAAGUGUUUGCACCCUUACCUGUCGGUAAUUUACGUGAGAGGUUUAGAGAAGCACAUUCCUGAUGUUUGGAGGAAAUGGUUGUAAUAAGUGGUUAUUGCUAUUGUAAGCAUGGUGCAGUUUUUUUUAUUGUAGAUUUAAAAUUUCCCGAGGAUCUGAUUCAGAGAUAGCUAGACGAAACUUUCCAAUACUUGUUAGGCACUGAAUCAGAUAUUCCAUUA